CCUUGGGGUUCUUUGCCUAGCUGUUGGGCAACAUUUUCAGUGUACAGAUGUUUGUCGGGUUCUUGAAGAUGCGUUGACGUGUUAUCAUCCACGCAAGCUUCCCCAACCCAGCCAGUGUACCACAAGACAACAAGCAUUCAGGAGGACGGGAGGAGGGAGCGAGCGGCUGCACGCAUUAUUGAACGGGACGGCAUUACAUUCUCCCCACAGCUGUAUGACUACACUGAAGCAAGCCCAGAAUAAAGUGUUGAGUGACCAUGAUACGUUGAUGAGUGCGUGGAGUCACCCAGAUCCUCUCUCUGUGGACCAUCCCCUCAGCACUGUUCGAUCCGCCCAGCAGCAGCAACGGUCAGGAGAAGGCGGUCAUUGAAGUGUCAAGUCUCCAAGCUGGUAUGGUGGUGGGUGUUGUGCUGGGUUCCCUUGGGGUUCUUUGCCUAGUUGUUGCGGUAAGUCAAAUAGAUUUUCACUCCUUUAUGCUCUGGGUGCCAAUUGACACAAUGUUAAAUACCCUGCCUUCCUUACUCUAUUCCUCCUUAUACAUCUUGUAGUACACUUCAUGCUAACUCCUACG